GGCGGUGUAGCUCAGGUGGUUAGAGCGACGGUCUCAUAAUCCGUAGGUCGCUGGUUCGAGUCCAGCCGCCGCCACCA
rnacentral:tRNA from 3 species